UACGAAGGGGGCUAGCGUUGCUCGGAAUCACUGGGCGUAAAGGGUGCGUAGGCGGGUCUUUAAGUCAGGGGUGAAAUCCUGGAGCUCAACUCCAGAACUGCCUUUGAUACUGAAGAUCUUGAGUUCGGAAGAGGUGAGUGGAACUGCGAGUGUAGAGGUGAAAUUCGUAGAUAUUCGCAAGAACACCAGUGGCGAAGGCGGCUCACUGGCCCGAUACUGACGCUGAGGCACGAAAGCGUGGGGAGCAAACAGGG
rnacentral:rRNA from 1 species